AGGUGGCAACGGAAAGUUGAUGGAAACUGAGUGAAGGUUGGUUGCGGCAGAGAAGGAAUGAGGUGGUCCUAGCUUCAGGCAGCCUCCAUUGUUGGAAGAAAGCUAAGAGGUGGGAGAGAUUUGAUGGAAAGAGUGACUUUGGUAAGCAUUUGCUUGGCAGAGAUGAAUUUCAGAUUGAAGAAAUUUCUCAUAUAUUCCAAAGUGUUUUACAAAUGAUGCCUUCAUGAAUUUAUAGAUGCAUUCAUGAAGCUAAGCAAGGAAAAAAUGUGAUCCGUAAAUGAUGGAUCUAAUGACACGUAUUCACCCAUGUGGAAAAGGUGAUGGCCUUCUAGAAAGGCUUAUUCAAGCACGUGAAAAACACAAAUCUGAAUGUGAGGGAGAGUUUCUAAUGCAGCCCCUAUCUUGAUAAGAGCACUCGUCCUUAUGUGACAAUGACCAUCUUACCCUUCUCCAUGCUUUUGGGUUAUUCUUUAUUUGGUGGGUUUGGGCCCCGCGUAUCAAAAGUGUGCAUGGCAAUUAGACAAAUAAGUGAAAUAAAUAAGAAGAGUAGAUAUAUGAGAGUGGAUAAGAUGAAAUUGUAAACCCCAAC
rnacentral:lncRNA from 1 species